rnacentral:rRNA from 1 species
AUGCCAUCUAACAUUGGUAACUCGAAAAAAGGGGCUUUUAAAUACCUAAAGGACCGUUUGUGGAGCAAGGUUCAAGGGUGGAUCGAGAGCACCUUGUCAUCUGCGAGCAAGGAAGUGCUAGUGAAAUCAGUUGCUCAAGCAGUCCCUGUUUUUUCAAUGUCAUGUUUUAAGCUGCCAAGGGGUUUAUGUGAACACCUAAACAUGUUAAUAAGGAAGUUUUGGUGGGGAAGCAAAGAAGGGAAAUGGAAACCACAUUGGGUGUCCUGGAAAGCUAUGACUCAGCCGAAGGGUUUAGGUGGUCUUGGCUUCAAAGAUUUUGAGUUAUUCAACUUGGCGAUGGUAGCCAGACAUGCAUGGAGGAUUCUCCAGAACCCAGAGACAUUAAGCUCCCGUCUGCUAAAGAGCAUAUACUACCCGUCGUCCGAUUUCCUCGAUGCGACUUUGGGUAGCCACCUGAGCCAAGUGUGGAGAGCAAUUAUAGAAGGGAGAGAUGUCCUGAAACAAGGUCUGAUAAGAAGAAUUGGCAAUGGGGAGACGACACAAAUAUGGUCACAAAACUGGCUGCCACGAGAUGAAAUGCUCCGCCCGUACUGGUGCCUCUCACAUGGUAGGCCAACUUUGGUCUCUGAAUUAAUUGAUCACACAACGGCUUCAUGGAAUAAGCAGCGCAUUGUUGCAACGUUCAUGCCAAUGGACGUUCAGGUGAUUAUGGGCAUUCCGUUGUGCACACGGAAUAUACCAGAUUUCUGGGCAUGGCACUUUGAUAAACAUGAUAUUUUCUCAGUCAAGUCAGCUUAUAACAUACUUGUGGCCACGAGACAGAGAAGAGAGGAUUGGCUCGAGAGUAAUGCAGGGUCAUCUAGUUCCGCUGCGGAGCAGGGUGCGUGGAAGUCGUUAUGGAAGACGAAAGUCCCUGGCAAGAUUCAUAUGUUUAUGUGGAGAUUAGCUAAACAGUCUCUGCCUACAAAUGAUGUCCGUGCUCACAGACACAUGGCAGAUUCUGACCGAUGUGGAUUGUGUGGAAACCAAGACUCAUGGCGUCAUUCGCUACUGGAGUAUUCGUCAUCGCGAAGCGUUUGGGCUUUGUCAGAAGAGGAUAUCACACAUAAAAUCACGACCACAACAGAACCACAUGCCAAGAAAUGGUUAUUUACUCUGAUGGAGGAGCUCCCCCACAAGAAAUUUGUCAAGAUGGCUGUAACUCUAUGGUCGAUUUGGUAUGCUCGACAAAAGGCAAUCCACGAAGGGAUCUUCCAGAGCCCUCAAGCAACACAUCUUUUUGUUCAGAGGUUCAUUGAUGAACUAGGGAUUGUUGGUAAUUCACAAAGUCGAGCUGUUCCAAACAAUCAAGCUCCAGCCGUACGUAAACAGAAACCUAAAAGACCACCGCCGGGCUUCUGCAAAAUCCAUGUCGACCCGGGGUGCGAUCACGAGGAGGAUCUGCAGCUGCUGUGUGCAGAGACGAAGCGGACAACUACAUGGGUAGUUCGGCCUUAG